rnacentral:miRNA from 1 species
CGCCCCUUAUACGUCAUCAUUGAUUAAACUUUGACUCGGAACCUCACAGUCAGCAGACACUUCCUGGGAGGGAGGGUCUGCUGCUGAUUGGGUGGAAUGUGUCUGCUGGCUGUGAGGUUCCGGGCCAAAGUUUACUCAAUGAUGACGUAUAGGGGGCG